rnacentral:rRNA from 1 species
GACGAACGCUGGCGGCGUGCCUAAUACAUGCAAGUCGAACGCUUCUUACUUAUCGAACUUCGGUUCACCAAGUAAGAGGAGUGGCGAACGGGUGAGUAACACGUGGGUAACCUGCCCAUCAGAGGGGGAUAACACUUGGAAACAGGUGCUAAUACCGCAUAAUUCUUUUUGUCGCAUGAUAGAAAGAUGAAAGGCGCUUUUGCGUCACUGAUGGAUGUACCCGCGGUGCAUUAGGUAGUUGGCGGGGUAAGAGCCCACCAAGCCUCCGAUGGAUAGCCGGCCUGAGAGGGUGGUCGGUCACACUGGGACUGAGAUACGGCCCAGACUCCUACGGGAGGCAGCAGCUAAGAAUCUUCCGCAAUGGACGAAAGUCUGACGGAGCGACGCCGCGUGGGUGAUGAAGGCGGUAACGUUGUAAAGCCCUUUUAUGGAUGAGGAAUAAGCUUAGGAGGGAAUGCCUGAGUGAUGACGGUAAUCCAUGAAUAAGCCCCGGCUAAUUACGUGCCAGCAGCCGCAGUAAAAC